rnacentral:tRNA from 1 species
GCAGAGGUGGUGGAAUAGGCAGACACGUACGUUUGAGGGGCGUAUGCGAGAGCAUGAGGGUUCGAGUCCCUUCCUCUGCA